rnacentral:rRNA from 1 species
UACGAAGGGGGCGAGCGUUGUUCGGAUUUACUGGGCGUAAAGGGCGCGCAGGCGGCAGACCAAGUCAGGCGUGAAAGCCCCGGGCUUAACCUGGGAACUGCGUCUGGGACUGGUUCGCUAGAGUUCGGGAGAGGAGAGUGGAAUUCCCAGUGUAGAGGUGAAAUGCGCAGAUAUCAGGAGGAACACCGGUGGCGAAAGCGGAUCUCUGGGCCUUACCUGACGCUGAGGCGCGAAAGCUAGGGGAGCGAACAGG